rnacentral:lncRNA from 1 species
UAGAAAUGAAUGAAAACAAGACAUAAAAACUAGAAAUGAAGACUUUGACUAAAGACUGGUCAAGGUGCGGAUUCUUGUGUUGACUGGUCCAGAUUCACAAAGAUGUCCAGGUUCAUUCUGUAGUGAUCAGGUCGACCGCAGUAAGGAGCAGGACGGACGUAAGGCUGCCCGCAUGGUUGAUCGUCGAUGAUCCAUGAACGGAUGAAGAGAUAGCUCGACCCAAAUCUCCAAAGAGCUUAAGUAUCCUUCCUUUGGAGUAGUUGGAAGCAUCGAUCAUCAUGAAAUCAUCAAAGUGGUUGGAAAGGUCGUGAUCAG